UACAGAGGUCUCAAGCGUUGUUCGGAUUCAUUGGGCGUAAAGGGUGCGUAGUGGCGCCGUAAGUCGGGUGUGAAAUUUCGGAGCUUAACUCCGAAACUGCAUUCGAUACUGCGGUGCUUGAGGACUGGAGAGGAGACUGGAAUUCAUGUGUAGCAGUGAAUGCGUAGAGAUCAUGAGAGACAGUGCGAGCGGUCUCUGGCUGUACUGACGCUGAGGAGCGAAGCGUGGGAG
rnacentral:rRNA from 1 species